rnacentral:rRNA from 1 species
GACGAACGCUGGCGGCGUGCUUAACACAUGCAAGUCGAACGGAAAGGCCCUGCUUUUGUGGGGUGCUCGAGUGGCGAACGGGUGAGUAACACGUGAGUAACCUGCCCUUGACUUUGGGAUAACUUCAGGAAACUGGGGCUAAUACCGGAUAGGAGCUCCUGCUGCAUGGUGGGGGUUGGAAAGUUUCGGCGGUUGGGGAUGGACUCGCGGCUUAUCAGCUUGUUGGUGGGGUAGUGGCUUACCAAGGCUUUGACGGGUAGCCGGCCUGAGAGGGUGACCGGCCACAUUGGGACUGAGAUGCGGCCCAGACUCCUACGGGAGGCAGCAGUGGGGAAUAUUGCACAAUGGGCGGAAGCCUGAUGCAGCAACGCCGCGUGCGGGAUGACGGCCUUCGGGUUGUAAACCGCUUUCGCCUGUGACGAAGCGUGAGUGACGGUAAUGGGUAAAGAAGCACCGGCUAGCUACGUG